UCAACAUUCAUGGUUAUUAAUCUAUUUGUGAAGCCUUACUAUUUGGUACUGUUUUGAAUAAGGUGGUUUAAGUAUCGAAGAGUCAUGGUUCUUUUGAUUCCCUUUGUACUAGUCUAUUUAUGCAAUAGCUGGACUUGCCUGUAUUAAUAUUUAGUAUUUAUUUCUGGACAGAUACCUCUGAAUCUACUGAAAGACUGCAAAGUUCUGCAGAAUAUCUCCCUGCAUGGCAAUCCUAUUUCAAUGGAUCAAUUUCAGCAGAUGGAAGGAUUUCAAGAUUUUGAAGCAAGAAGAAAGAAGGAGUUUGACAAGAAAAUUGAUUCAAAUGUGAUGAUUGGGUCAAAAGGCCUCGAUGAGGGUGUUGAUCUAUGAAUGUCUUACAUCAGUGCUCCCUAAAAGAGUUGGCAUGGCUGCAAACUUGAGGGAUUUCACACUAACUAAAGUAUGUUCACACUCAUCAAGUCCAAUAUGCCACUGAAAAAUGCUUAUUACCAACACCAAGGUUGGGAGGAAUACAAAGGCACACAGCAGGUUUCAUAGAGGACCAUAAGGCACCCAGAUGCCAUGAGUUUGGUGUUUACUGCAGUUGAUUCUAUCAGCAAACAAUAUAUGAAGCUAUUGGCAGUCAGCAGUACAAUUGCCUGAGGGAGUGCAACAUUUUAGUUGUACCACAAUCUAGUACAGAUUAUUGGACAUAGACUUACUAAUAAUGUAUUAUAUUUGCAAACAUGUGGCUUAAUUUUAAGAGUAAGACCAUCAAUUCUGUAAGCGAGAGCACUUUGUUCUCCCUUCUGGUGAAAAGGCUGAUGAGGUUCUAAAGUAGGAUAUUUUGGAUUGUUGGACGCCAGAAAAUCACUAUCGAUGGACUGAAUCUGAGUGUUAAACAUGUUGGGUUUAGACCAUCGAUAAUGAUUUUCUGGAGUCCAACAGUCCAGAAUAUCCGACUUUAGAACCUCAUCAGCCUUUUCAUCAGUUUCCUUGGACCCUACUUCUCACGUUCA